UUACGCCCACAUCACGUUGAAACAUUGGUUCCCAUACGAUCACCAAAGUUAAGCAACGUCGAUCCUGGUCAGUUCUUAAAUGGGUGACUGCUUGGGAAUAACAGCUGC